rnacentral:rRNA from 1 species
AGUCGAGAAUCAUUCACAAUGGGGGCAACCCUGAUGGUGCAACGCCGCGUGGAGGAUGAAGGUCUUCGGAUUGUAAACUCCUGUCAUCUAGGAGCAAGGCAUGGAUGUGAAUAGCAUACAUGAUUGAUAGUACUAGAAGAGGAAGGGACGGCUAACUUCGUGCCAGCAGCCGCGGUAAUACGAAGGUCCCGAGCGUUAUUCGGAAUCACUGGGCGUAAAGGGAGCGUAGGCGGCGUGGAAAGUCAGAUGUGAAAUCCCGGGGCUCAACCCCGGAACUGCAUCCGAUACUACCAUGCUAGAGAUUUGGAGGGGUAACUGGAAUUCUCGGUGUAGCAGUGAAAUGCGUGGAUAUCGAGAGGAACACCUGUGGCGAAAGCGAGUUACUGGACAACAUCUGACGCUGAGGCUCGAAGGCUAGGGGAGCAAA